rnacentral:rRNA from 1 species
ACGAACGCUGGCGGCGUGCUUAACACCUGCAAGUCGAACGGAAAGGCCCUGCUUUUGUGGGGUGCUCGAGUGGCGAACGGGGGAGUAACACGUGAGUAACCUGCCCUUGACUUUGGGAUAACUUCAGGAAACUGGGGCUAAUACCGGAUAGGAGCUCCUGCUGCAUGGUGGGGGUUGGAAAGUUUCGGCGGUUGGGGAUGGACUCGCGGCUUAUCAGCUUGUUGGUGGGGUAGUGGCUUACCAAGGCUUUGACGGGUAGCCGGCCUGAGAGGGUGACCGGCCACAUUGGGACUGAGAUACGGCCCAGACUCCUACGGGAGGCAGCAGUGGGGAAUAUUGCACAAUGGGCGGAAGCCUGAUGCAGCAACGCCGCGUGCGGGAUGACGGCCUUCGGGUUGUAAACCGCUUUCGCCUGUGACGAAGCGUGAGUGACGGUAAUGGGUAAAGAAGCACCGGCUAACUACGUG